UCCCCAUAGCAAUGGGCAAAGAGACACCAUGUUGGUGGUGGUGGUGUUCUUACAUCAGCUAAGGGGCACAGCAGAUGGCAGGCCCUUGUUCAUCCUAGAUUGAUGCCGGGCUUGCUGGCCUAACUAUCUUAUGACUAGGACUCAUAA
ensembl:snoRNA LOC120095741 small nucleolar RNA SNORA48